ensembl:lncRNA
AUUUUGACUUAUUUUUGAACUCUUGUGAUCAGUAUGACUAGAUUGUGUGAGUUUCCAUACUAAAAGAGCUGUAGUGAUAAAAUAAUUGGCAUCAGAGACACUGAUUUUUGGCAUGGUAUACUGCAGAAGUUUUUUUUUUUUUUUUUGCAUAAUUUACCUUUUAAUUAAACUGCAUUCUCUGUAUUGUAACAAAACUAACAUUGUUUAUAUGUCAGAAAAUUAGCAAACAUGAAUAAAUGGCGAAAACAAUAUAAUUAUAACAUAUAUUUUUAUUUGACUUAUUUUAGGUCUGUGAAGCCAAACUUGAUGCUGGGGAUUUAUUUUUGUCAGUGGAGUCAAAUGGUCUAGAUGAUCACAUCUGACUUUGUCAUUUAAAUGAGGUGGACUUGCAAACUUUGCGCUCUUUUGGAUUUCAAGACAGAGCUUAUUGUUCUCUGAACUUCCUUGUUUGCUGAACGGCAGGUUGAAGCAGAAUUUGCCCGUCUUACAUCUGUUGACCUGAAAGGGUUCCUUUUUGCUGUGCUUGACCAUUAUGGAGAGGUUCGUGGAGCUGUACAAAAUCAAGAGCGGCAUAGGAGGGCUA